GGAGGAGCCGGGGCCUGGGCGCAGGGCGUGGCGCGGGGGCGCGGGCCGGGCGGCCGGGGGGCCAGACGCUCCCGGAGGCUUUUGCCCCGGGCUACUGAGCUGGGCCCCUCCUCCUGCUCUCCUCGGGACUCGGGCGCGGGACCACGACCGCCGCGGCUCAGGCGGCUUCACCGGUGAAAGACAAAUUGGACCUGUCCCGAAAGACAAUUUGUAGGUUGGCCAGUGGGCGGAAGGAUGACCCAACCAAUCAGAAGCCUGCACCUGGGAUUCUGAACCUGAAGUACUGGUGGGAUCUGCACAAUGGAGACCAGAGGUGGGGAUCUCCCUGUGUUACCCAGGCUAUUCUUGAACUCUCGGCCUCAAAGCAAUCCUCCCUGCUCAGCCUCCCAAAGUACUGGGAUUCCAGGUGUGAGUCACCACACCCAGCCGUGUUGCUCUCAAGAUUGUCAUCUGAAUGGAAUCACACAGUAGCUCAAAGCGUCAUGACUAAUAUAAUUGUUCACUAUGAUAACAUGUGGUAACCACCCUAUAAAGAGGAGCAGUGUCAUGGAGUCGCCUUUCUGCACAGAAGCCUCUGUUCCUUUUGCUAUCACAGCACCAGGUGAGCCAUAAAUAUAUGCUCGGGAUCCUCCUGACUCCCAGGCCUAUGGUUCUUCAGGCUCAUCCUGCCAGGAGAAUGGCCUGAUCGGGGAUGGCCUUCAGUUACUUUCUUCUUUGGGAAAGAAGAGACUCAGAAUGACAGUCCAGUCAGUCGGAUGGCAGUGUCCAAGGAAUGAACCACCUAGGUAGGUACUCUGCGCAUGGGACAAGACGUCCUGUGCCUGUUCCCACCCUGAUAUGUUGACAGGUCCUUUGAAGGGCUGGGCAGGGCUGCCUGCAAGGUGAGUUUUGAGCUGGGCACCCUAAUCUCACCUGACAGGGACUCACCACACAUACCCUCUGGGCCACCAUUCAGCCCUUGUGGCAUCAUCCAGCUAGAGCCAAAUGGAGGAACUCGACUUUGGUGGAUAUACACCAAAGAAAGAGAAAGAGGAAGCAAGGCUGCCUGGCACUGAGCAUCUCAUUUUAUAGCCAUCUGUGAAAGAAGAGCUAUCAUUUAAUUUAAAUUUCCCUUAUAUUCACAACUUUACAGGAAGAGUUAAAAAUACAAUCCUAAACCAAAAGAACAAAACUGGAGGCAUCACGCUACCUGACUUCAAACUAUACUACAAGGCUAC